rnacentral:rRNA from 1 species
AUACGGAGGAUCCGAGCGUUAUCCGGAUUUAUUGGGUUUAAAGGGUGCGCAGGCGGCCAUUUAAGUCAGCGGUUAAAUCGUGGGGCUCAACCCCAUUCUGCCGUUGAUACUGGGUGGCUUGAUUGCGGUCGAGGUUGGCGGAAUUCGUUGUGUAGCGGUGAAAUGCAUAGAUAUGACGAAGAACACCGAUUGCGUAGGCAGCUGUCCAGACCGCAAAUGACGCUCAUGCACGAAAGUGCGGGGAUCGAACAGGAUUAGAUACCCUGGUAGUCCGCACAGUAAACGAUGAAUACUUGUUUUCGGCGAUAUAAUGUCGGAGGCAAAGCGAAAGCGAUAAGUAUUCCACCUGGGGAGUACGCCGGCAACGGUGAAACUCAAAUGAAUUGACGGGG